rnacentral:rRNA from 1 species
GGCGAACGCUGGCGGCGUGCCUAAUACAUGCAAGUCGAGCGAGACUCUUCGGAGUCUAGCGGCGGACGGGUGAGUAACACGUGGGCAACCUGCCUGUAAGACUGGGAUAACACCGGGAAACCGGUGCUAAUACCGGAUAAUCCUUUUCCUCUCAUGGGGAAAAGCUGAAAGUCGGUUUCGGCUGACACUUACAGAUGGGCCCGCGGCGCAUUAGCUAGUUGGUGAGGUAACGGCUCACCAAGGCGACGAUGCGUAGCCGACCUGAGAGGGUGAUCGGCCACACUGGGACUGAGACACGGCCCAGACUCCUACAGGAGGCAGCAGUAGGGAAUCUUCCACAAUGGACGAAAGUCUGAUGGAGCAACGCCGCGUGAGCGAUGAAGGCCUUCGGGUCGUAAAGCUCUGUUGUUAGGGAAGAACAAGUACCGGAGUAACUGCCGGUACCUUGACGGUACCUAACCAGAAAGCCACGGCUAACUACGUGCCAGCCGCCGCGGUAAUAC